rnacentral:misc_RNA from 1 species
GUGAAUCAUCAAAUCUUUGAACGCAAAUUGCACUCUCUUCGGAGAGUAUGCCUGUUUGAGGGUCAGCCUAAAAAAAAAAAUCGACAUAUUCGCUGUUUCGCGGUUACAUUCGUCGGAAAUUUGGUUAUCUUAAACCUUUGGGUUUUAAGCGUCUUAAAAUUUUCUUUACGGUUCCACGAACGUUUCGAUGAUUUACUUCUUAUACGUUUAAGGUAACGACCUUCAUUAGACGUUGCCGUUGCA